rnacentral:rRNA from 1 species
UCGGCGCUAAUACCUCAUAAUGCAGUCGGAUCCGCAUGGAUAUGUUGUUAAAGGUUUACCGCCUUGGGAUAGGCUUGCGUCUGAUUAGCUAGUUGGUGUGGUAACGGCACACCAAGGCUACGAUCAGUAACUGGUCUGAGAGGAUGAUCAGUCACACUGGAACUGAGACACCGGUCCAGACUCCUACGGGAGGCAGCAGUGAGGAAUAUUGGGCAAUGCUCGAAAGAGUGACCCAGCAACGCCGCGUGGAGGAUGAAGGUAUUCUAUAUCGUAAACUCCUGUGAGAGCAGACGAAAGACAGAUUAUUAAUCUGGAUGACUGUAUGCUCAGAGGAAGCCCCGGCUAACUACGUG